rnacentral:misc_RNA from 1 species
UUUACAUCUUAGAUUGAGAGGGAGGUGAGAGUUGUAAAUUAUUUUAUUUCUUACACCCCUCAUAUCUACCCUUCUUUCACCUCUUCUCAAAUAUAAAUAAUAUAUAUUAACUUUCUUUAUCUUUUCAUUAGUUCACCCCUUCUUAAACAUGAUUUUUGUUUUUUAUUGCAACCCUCCUUAUCCUUCCCCCUCCUUACCUUCCCUUACCCUUCCAUUAAUUAUCCUUCCCUCACCCCAUCCAAACAG